rnacentral:tRNA from 1 species
GGGAAGGUGGCUCAGUGGUAGAGCACUUGCCUUGCAUGCAUGAGGCCCUGGGUUCGAUUCCUCAGCCACCACA